CUUGAGCUAACCAAUUCUGUUCAAUCGACCUAUUGAUGUCUAAAGUAAGUUAAUGAGAUAUGAUUAUUUAAUUGGUUCCAUUUGCCAACCUCGUCAAUCUAUUAGUGUCUUAGGAAGGCAAUGGGGGGACCCCCAUCGAUCUCCACUUACCUGGCCAAUUUGGAAGAUUUAGACUUGAAUUAGGUUGCUUAGCAAUCUGGUUUAGUCCAUGCCACU
rnacentral:lncRNA from 1 species